ACAUAAGUGCAGAUGCAAAUCGCACUGAUUUCGCUAUCGCUGCCUAAGCGAUUUAAGUGAAUCCGUUAACCCAAGAGUGCUCUCGGCUUGGAUGUUAGCGUCGCUAGAGAGCUCACUUGACGAUGGUGUUAUGGACAUCGUUUGGGAAAUCAAUCUAUAGCUGAGUUCGUUGACUACAUGUGUUUGUGAGAGUCAGGACUGAGAAAACGAAUAGAACACUACGCCCGUAGAAGCCCUGAUUUUGCUCUAGAGGACCCGGGUUCGAUUCCCGGCACCUCCACCA
rnacentral:tmRNA from 1 species